AGCCUGAUCCAGCCAUGCCGCGUGGGUGAAGAAGGCCUUCGGGUUGUAAAGCCCUUUUGUUGGGAAAGAAAUCCUGUCGGUUAAUACCCGGCGGGGAUGACGGUNCCCAAAGAAUAAGCACCGGCUAACUUCGUGCCAGCAGCCGCGGUAAUACUGAAGGGUGCAAGCGUUACUCGGAAUUACUGGGCGUAAAGCGUGCGUAAGCGGUUCGUUAAGUCUGUCGUGAAAGCCCUGGNCUCAACCUGGGAAUUGCGAUGGAUACUGGCGGGCUAGCAGUACGGUAGAGGAUGGUGGAAUUCCCGGUGUAGCGGUGAAAUGCGUAUAGAUCGGGAGGAACACCCGUGGCGAAGGCGGCCAUCUGGACCAGUACUGACGCUGAGGCACGAAAGCGUGGGGAGCAAACAGGAUUAAAUACCCUGGUAGUCCACGCCCUAAACGAUGCGAACUGGAUGUUGGGCACACUUAGGUGCUCAGUGUCGAAGCUAACGCGUUAAGUUCCCGCCUGGGGAGUACUGUCGCAAGACUGAAACUCAAAGGAAUUGACGGA
rnacentral:rRNA from 1 species